CAGCAGCCACGGGAAUACGAAGGGUGCAAGCGUUACUCGGAAUUACUGGGCGUGAAGCGUGCGUAGGUGGUGGUUUAAGUCCGUUGUGAAAGCCCUGGGCUCAACCUGGGAAUUGCAGUGGAUACUGGGUCACUAGAGUGUGGUAGAGGAUAGUGGAAUUUCCGGUGUAGCAGUGAAAUGCGUAGAGAUCGGAAGGAACAUCUGUGGCGAAGGCGACUAUCUGGGCCAACACUGACACUGAGGCACGAAAGCGUGGGGAGCAAACAGGAUUAGAUACCCCCGUAGUCCCUGUCUCUUAUAC
rnacentral:rRNA from 1 species